rnacentral:lncRNA from 1 species
GUUUUAGCAUUUUAUAAUUUUUAUCUUUAUAUAUUUCUAGGAUUAAGUGCUUGUGCAUAAUAAAACGGACUUAUCUUUCUCGAAAUCCAACUCCAACCUCAUCGUUGGUGAGCUGGGGACUAACACUAACGGAAUGAGAACUUAUACUUGUUAAUAAUUGAACAAAUUAUAAUUAAAUAAGUAUUAUCAUCUGUAUUUUACCUGGGUUUACCUGUCAAAAAAAUGCGCGCAAUUGUAAUCAAAAGCUGCGCGCAAACGUAAUGAUUUUUGCGCGCAAAUGUAAUGGUAAUGCGCGCAAACGUAAUGCAUCGAUCUGCAUCUGUCAUCACUCGGUA